GACGAACGCUGGCGGCGUGCUUAACACAUGCAAGUCGAACGAUGAACCACUUCGGUGGGGAUUAGUGGCGAACGGGUGAGUAACACGUGGGCAAUCUGCCCUUCACUCUGGGACAAGCCCUGGAAACGGGGUCUAAUACCGGGAUAACACUCCUGCUCUCAUGGCAGGGGUUAAAAGCUCCGGCGGUGAAGGAUGAGCCC
rnacentral:rRNA from 1 species